AAGCCAGACUCCUACGGGAGGCAGCAGUGGGGAAUAUUGCACAAUGGGGGAAACCCUGAUGCAGCGACGCCGCGUGAGUGAAGAAGUAUUUCGGUAUGUAAAGCUCUAUCAGCAGGGAAGAAAGUGACGGUACCUGACUAAGAAGCCCCGGCUAACUACGUGCCAGCAGCCGCGGUAAUACGUAGGGGGCAAGCGUUAUCCGGAUUUACUGGGUGUAAAGGGAGCGUAGACGGCAUGGCAAGUCAGAUGUGAAAGCCCGGGGCUCAACCCCGGGACUGCAUUUGAAACUGUCAGGCUGGAGUGCAGGAGAGGUAAGUGGAAUUCCUAGUGUAGCGGUGAAAUGCGUAGAUAUUAGGAGGAACACCAGUGGCGAAGGCGGCUUACUGGACUGUAACUGACGUUGAGGCCCGAAAGCGUGGGGAGCAAACAGGAUUAGAUACCCUAGUA
rnacentral:rRNA from 1 species